GUUAUUUACCCCUUCACAUCACACAAGAACCAGGGGUCACCAAACGAAAUUACUAGUCAGCAGAUUUAAAACAAACAUAAGGAAGUACUUCUUCACACAACACACAGUAAACCUGUGGAACUCAUAGUCACAGGAUGUGAAGGCCAAAGGUAUAAAUGGGUUAAAAAAAGAACUAGAUAAGUUCCUAGAGGAUAAGUUCAUCAAUGGCUAUUAGCCAAGAUGAUCAGGGACACAAUCCCACGCUCUAGGUAUCCCUGAACUUUGAUGGCUGGAAGCUGGGACUGGAUGACAGGGGAUGGAUCAGCCUUGUUCUGUUCAUUCCCUUUGAAGCAUCUGGCAGUGGCCACUGUCAGAAGACAGGAUACUGGGCUAAAUGGACCAUUGUUCUGACCCACUAUAGCUGUUCUUAUGUUCUUAUUGCUCCUUUCUCAUGUUUACAGUCCAGGAGGACUUAGAAGAAGAGAUUUUAGACAAAAUCAGAAAGUGGUUUUUCAUUAUAGGGGAAUAUUUAAGAGUAUAAUAUAUUAUAAUGGGGCGUGGGGCACAGACUGUUGAGAAAGGAGAAUGCUGUUUGUUUAUACACUGGAGAGUGAAGCCCAUCCACAACUAAAUUAUUUUGAUCCUGGAUUUCUCAAUUCUCUGUUUCCAGUGGUAGCUGGAUGGGCAGAGCCAUCCCUGUUGACAUCAGAAGAGACAAAGGGGACUUGACCUCCAGAGAUGUACUGUACUCUUUUUUGUGAAUAUUGCUGCUCUUGGGGUCAGGGCACAGGACCGUUGCCUUAGUUUGGUUGCUUUCCUUCAUUUCCCUGAAAUGAUUUAGCCUCUCUUAUUCAUCCAUGCUUGUGAACCUGUCCUGUUGCAAUAUCAAAGGGACUCCCUCUCCUGCAGCCACCUUAUCUCCUGACCCCUGCUAUGUUCUUACUACUUUUUCCAUUCUUACAGGGCACCAGAACUACUACAGACAUCUUCUGUGCCUAAUCCUGCAGGGGCAGCUCCUACACUCCAGCAGGCUUUUCAGGCAGCUACACUAGCGUAGUAGAAUGACACAAGUAUAAAACCUGCUGGGGCACAGAAGUAGCCCAGAUCCCAGCCUGUCAGCAGAUGAAGUUGGAGGCUCUGCAUCCUGGGGAUUCUUCCUCUGGCUUGAGGACUGGACUCAGCUACGUUUGGAGUCCAUCACCGCUACUGCAAGAACCAGCCAGAAGGAGGCGCUGCUGAGUGACUGAGUGCCCUGGACAGCAGUGACCCACACUGGAGCUGGCAUGCAGAUUUCUUCUUUACUUUACUUUUUAUUUAUUGAGAUGGUCUGGCUGUUUGGCUCAUUCUUAUAGCUGGAACACUAACGAUUUAAAUCAAGCUAUUACUGACUUCUCCAGCUCAAAUGAAGUCCGUGGUGCUGGUUCCACAAUUCCUACCAAGGACAGGCUCUGAUGAUUUUCCAAGUUUCAUCCCUACUCCUGUGUAGCUUGGAAGCACAUCCUGGACUGGAUCUUCCAGUGUAGACAAGAGAGUUAUUUUUGAGUGGGUGGAGAACUUGGAUUCUUCAAAACAUACAGUUUUGUUGGUGCAGUCCAGAGUUUGUAGGCGUCAAUGUUGACCUUGUGAGUCCCAUAGGAGCCUCAUGUAUGUUCUUAAUGUACUUUGCAUGGUUUUAAAGAAAUAUAAACAAGGACAUUCCCAGACAAAAAGCUUUUGGUUAAAGUCAUAGCUGUUCCAGUGACCAACAAACAUUUGAGAAAAAAAAAUGCCAAGAAUACUAGUUAAAAAAAGAAAAAAUCUCUAACCAUUUUAAAAGCAUGGAAAUUAUCUUAAUUUAUUGUGUACAUAAAGUUUUGACUAUCCUACCAUUCAUACAUUUUUUAACAAAAAUGUAAAUGUGAAAAUUAACAGUGCUGUUUCAGUAACAAUCUUAAGUCAGGAUCAGUUUUCUUUUCUCUUUUCCCCUUGAUUGUGUAAUAUAGACUUUGAUCCUGUAAACACGUGUGCAUCUUUAUUCACAUGACUAAUAUCACAUAAAUGUUUGCAGAAUCAGGGCAAUAGUUGUUCAGUGUUUUGUCUAAUAACUAUGGAAUGGGAUGUCAGUUGUAAAAGGACCAUGAAUAAUCUGGUUGAAGAUAUAAUUUAGGAAGAUAUAUCUUCAUUACAUGUCAUUAUGUACAAAGCAAUGUUCUUUGUAUUAUCUAUACAUUGUUGCCAACACUCAUGAUUUUCAUGAGUCUUGUAGUAUUUGUUGUUUUCUUUAAGACCCAGCUCCUGGAGUCAAGUGAUUAUAUGAAAUUCUAAACUCUCAUUUUAAAAGAAUACAUUUCUGUCCUCAUGAUUGCAGAGAAAAGCUUGAAAAUGUGACCUGAAUGUAGCCUAAAGGCUCAGAAACCAAAAGGUAAUUAAAAAGAUCUCUCCCUCUGAACACAUAUCAUGAUUUUGGGCGACCUGACUCAUGAUUUUUUUGAAUGCUUGGGGUUUGCAAUACUGCUAUCUGUAAAAUUUGAUAAUUAAAAUGUUAGUAUUCUGCAGCUAGAAGAUAGACUUUGAAGGGUCUUAUUUACAUAGGGAUAGGUUGUGAUAUACAUGGGGUUCCAUUGGCUUAUUAACUGUGAGUAAGGUAGUGCAAUGUGGCCCAUCGAUGGAUGCAAGACAAGUUAUAGUUUCUGAAGCUAUUUUAAUGCUGUAUAUGUUGAAACAAAUGGUUUGGUCUUUUUUUUUUUAAACUAUCACUAACACUUAAAUGGAAGUACUAUGUUACUUGGUAUCUAUAUUGGAGAUUUAGGGUUAAAGCUGUUAUUAGAUUGUCUAUCUAAUAUUAAUUUACCCAUGUUUAGAUCAAUGUUGGUGAAUGUAUGAACUGUAAGUAUAUUCAAACUUUUAUGUACAUUACAAUAAACUGUAAAAAAUAGGGAAACAAGAGGGCAUCUGCACCUUCUUGGUAUUCAUUUUUCUAAUAUCUGUUAAUUUCAGUCUGAACCUUAACUUUAAGAUUUUGUUGUCUAAGAAUAUGCGGUAGUCAGUGCUGUGAGUUAUACUUAGCUUUAUCUUUGUCAUUGUGAAAUUUGUUAAGAGUCAUGAAGAGGAAGGAUAAUCCUGUGGUUAGAGCAGAGAACUGUGAACAAGAAGCUCCUUGAUCUAGUCCCAAUUCUGCCACAGAAUAAUGUUAUGGCCUUGGCUAAGUCACUUGACAAGAUCUAUUUUCCAUAAAACCAUAUUGAUAUGUGUUAAUUAUGGUACCAUCUUUUAAUUCUUUGCUGAUUCACUCUCAUAUCUUCCUUUCCAUGAUUUUGUACAGGACUGAUAACAGGCGAAAUGGCCUAUGGUUUCUCAGGUCAUUCCAUUUAACCUUUUAAAGUACUAGCACAAGAUUAGCUUUUCCCCAGUUCUCUGGAACUUCUCCAGUACUGCAGGAUUUUUUUUAAAAAUCAACAUCAGUGGUUAAGACAGCUCCUCAGCCAAUUCCUUUAAAAUUUUUGGAAGCAAGUUAUCCUGUCCUGAAUAUUUAAAAAUGUUUAAUUUUAAUAGUUACUGUUUAACAUCCUCCCUAAAUAAUAAUGGAAUAGAAAGUAUUUCAUUGUCACUAUAAGAUGUGAAAAUGUCAUCAAGCUUCUUACCAAAUACAGAAUUAAAAUAUUUAUUGAAAAUUUCUGCCCUUUCUGCAUCACUAUUGAUAAUUUUGCAAUACCUAGAUAGUAAUGACCCAUACCAUUGAUAGAAUUUCUUUUGUUCCUGAUAUAUUUUAAAAUUUCCUCCUUAUCCUUAACCCUACUGGCCACAGAUUUUUAAUACCUUUAGCUUCCCUUAUCCAUUGUCUUCACUUCAUAACUGCUAAUUUAUAGUCAUUGCUUUCAACUUCUCCUUUUGUAUAUAUUAGGAUUUUUAAAUUUUAUUUUUAUUGCCACUUUCACAUCCCUCCUUAACAGGGCAGAUUUCUAACUGAAUAAGCCUUCUUUUGUGAUUUUUAAAAAAUAUAUAUAUUUGGGGUUAUCUAAUAAAAUAUCCUCAAAUGAUUCUCAGUCACUGGUCACUAAUUUUUUUCCUUUCACUUUUGUUGAUGAUUGUUUUCAGCCUUAGGAAAUCAUUGCUUUUAAAGCUCCCUGUGUGCGUGUGCAUUAAUGGUCAAAACUAUACUCUGUUUGCACAUAACCAAUAUAAUUAGAUCAGGUAGAUAGUGAUCACUUGCCUCUAGGCAACCACUAGUUUUUAGUUCAAUGAUCAGUUAUGCAUGGGGAGUGGCCCUUGCUGUGGGCUCCAUAUGGGGGUCCCUGGUUUGAGGGUUGCCUUUGUUCAGAGUGCCCUCUGUUGGGGGAACCCUGGCUGGCACCCUCGAUGGGGGAUACUU